GCAAGUCGAACGGCAGCACAGUAAAGAUUUCGGUCUUUAUGGGUGGCGAGUGGCGGACGGGUGAGUAAUACGUAGGAAUCUGUACUGGAGAGGGGGAUAACCCGAGGAAACUCGGGCUAAUACCGCAUGAUAUUGAGAAAUGAAAAGCAGGGGACCGGAAAGGGCCUUGCGCUCUGGGUUGAGCCUGCGUCGGAUUAGCUAGUUGGUGGGGUAAAGGCCUACCAAGGCAACGAUUCGUAGUUGGUCUGAGAGGAUGAGC
rnacentral:rRNA from 1 species